rnacentral:tRNA from 1 species
GCCGGUGUGGUGAAAUGGUAUACACGCCCGGCUCAAACCCGGGUCACAUGCAGGUUCGAAUCCUGCCGCCGGCACCA